rnacentral:rRNA from 1 species
UGGGGAAUUUUGGACAAUGGGCGCAAGCCUGAUCCAGCCAUGCCGCGUGCAGGAUGAAGGCCUUCGGGUUGUAAACUGCUUUUGUACGGAACGAAAAGGUGCCUUCUAAUAAAGGGCGCUCAUGACGGUAGCGGGAGAAGAAGCCCCGGCUAACUCCGUGCCAGCAGCCGCGGUAAUACGGAGGGGGCUAGCGUUGUUCGGAAUUACUGGGCGUAAAGCGUACGUAGGCGGAUGCGCAAGCUGGGGGUGAAAUCCCGGGGCUUAAUCUCGUAAUUGCCCUCAAAACUGCACGUCUUGAGACCGAGAGAGGUAAGGGGAAUUCCUAGUGUAGAGGUGAAAUUCGUAGAUAUUAGGAAGAACACCAGUUGCGAAGGCGGUCUCUUGGUCCGACACUGACGCUGAGGCGCGAAAGCGUGGGGAGCAAACA